CUCAGCCAGUGGGCUGAGUUCCCUCUCUAGAACCCAUGGUGGAAGGACCAACUCCUGAGAGCUGUUUUCUGACCUCCAUACCUGCACUCAAAUCGCUGGACCUAAAAGUAAACGCUCUCGACUUGCCCCGAGGGACAGGUCAGGUGGCCCCUGAACAGGGACCCUGAAAACGAGGGACACUGUGAGGAACACUGGUUGUUUGGAACUCCGGGUGCCAAAGCGACCGACCGAUGCUUUGUGACGACCACCCAUCGCUCAGAGACAAAGGAAAAUGAUGUGGCUCGAUGGCUACCGGAAGGCCUGGUGGGACAAGUGGAUGAGAAGCUUUCUCCUGACAAUGAGAAUGAUGUCAAUGAGGACCCCUCCAGUCAAGAUGACUGCUUACUGAACAUACGUUCCUGAUCCACCUUUACUACAUCCAGUUUCCUGGGAUGAUCAAAAGUCCUUGUUUAUGUCAACAACACUCGGCUGCUGGUUUUCCUGCUUUUGAAGGAACGCAAGUAAAACAGACGCUUAACUUUUCAGGAAUAGGAAAAGGUCAUCCUCUCUGCUUUACCAAUGAAGAGUAUUCAUCAGGACUGCUCACCAGUCUCCCCUGCCCAGGUCAUAGGCCAGAAUGCCUACUACUCUAAAGUUGGGGUAGCAGCUCAAGCCUCCCUUUGUAACCAGGCAUAUUGGAAUAUUGGAGGGAUAUUACUGCCGUCCCCCCCCACAGGAGUUAAGAAUGACAGUCUUACAUCUCCAAUGAGUUACUGACCUUGUGAGAAAGGGGGCCAGCGCACUUGUCCUUGACCAAUGGUUCCUUGGACAAGAUGCAUCAGAGAAACGCCCACCAUCUACUCCUGGGACAAUGACCCUGCAUGUACAGUUGUGGACUGGUCUAUCAUUAAGGGUAUAAAGAACUUGGCUUCUGAUAGAGGCAGUCAAAAUUCCCUUGUUUUAGAAAAAGCUGUUCUGGACUUUGGAGAACAUCAAAUAGAAAUUGGCAAACCUAUGUGUGAAAUUGGGGCUGCCUGAGGAAUGCCUUAGGCAUUCUCCAUGGGAAUGCAAGUAGGUUUUACUGAAUUAGUUAAGUAUACUUCUAUUUUGGCAUGUGUUAAUCCUCCUUAUUUACUGUUACCUGGUAAAAUCAUAGUAAAACAUUUUAAAAAUAAUACCUAUUUGACUGAAUGUGUAAACUGCAAUCCUAACUAAUUAUGUUAAGACUGAUAGUGAAGCUCUUUCAGUAUUAGUUGUUAAGCAACCUCUUUUUGUUAUGAUUCCUGUUAGGGUUUCUGAUUCUUGGUAUGAUGAGGGGAAUGUUGUUAUUUUUGAGGAAUUAAAAAAAAGAGUUGCAGUGGGAUUGAUUGUGGCAGGAGUAAUUGUGCUCAUUACACUUAUUGCCUCUGCUCCUGUGUCUGCGGUUGCCUUGUCACAAUUCGUACAAGCUGCUUCUUAUGUGGAAAAUUUGGCACAUAAUAUUUCAGAAGUUUUACAUGCUCAAGCAGAUAUUGAUGAUAAGAUUAACCACAAGCUAGAUGAUUUAGCCUCUACAGUCAAUUUACUAGAAGACAUGCAUAGCUUAAAACAAUUAAGCAGCUUAGGAUGCCACGCAGCAUUCAGAUGGAUUUACAUUAUGCCUUUUGAAUAUAACGAGGCAGAAUUUAACUGGACUCGGGUUCAGAAUCAUCUUGCUGGCGUUUGGUCUAGCAAAAACUUCUCAUUGGACGUGAUAACUAUGAGAAAUAAGAUCCACGACAGAGAAUCUGCCAAGGGACCUAGAUUGGAAUUGGCCAAUAAAGCCUGGGAUAUAGGAGGCACUUUCCAUCCUUUGACUCUGUGCUUAAGUGGGGACUGACACUUGCGGGCAUGGCGGGUAUGGGUUUAUUAGCCUGUGCCUGCCUUCCUUGCGUGUUACAGUUCCUUCUUCAACAACUUCAGCGCACACAAGUGCAGCUGCGUGAAUUUAAAUUAAAGAUCUCUAACAACCCUGUUUGAUAUGGAGGUAAGUCAGAGACGGGUAAGAGUAAAAAUGUGGUUUUACUGACCUAAGACAGAGGCUCCUGAAAAUUGCAUCUGAGACCUUGAUGACAGGUAAGAAAAAUGCUCAUUUCACCAACCUAAGACAGGCUCUCCAUAAAACAAAAAAGGGGGAACUGAAGAGUCUGGUAAUGGAAUUUUGCCUCUUGGCCUUGGCAGAUGUGGGUUUAAUCUAAAGUUCAGUUUCUCAGAGACUGAUCCUGGCAGUUUCUCCAGCAGGGAGCUCUGUUCCUAAGAACUAGGUAACAAACCUUGUGAAACCUUGAGUGAAUCCUUGGGUGUUUUGCCAAGUGAAGCAAAUGGGCUGUUGCUAUGAGAAAGUUGCUUGUGGCUUUUUGCUUUAAAAAAGCUGUUUGAGUGCCUAAUAAACCAGUCUUGAUCAGAAA